GGGAGGGACCAGGACGGGUAGCACUGCUCUUUCAAAUGGCUUUGACGUGCAAAUUAGGUACUCUGCACAGGGCUUCUUUUCUGAAAAGCUUCCCCCAGCAGGCCUUGCUGGGAAAGGCUGCCUUCUCCCGCUGCUGGUGAUUUGGGAAAGCACCUGGGCCAGGGUUAGUUCAGGAGAGCUUGAAUGGCUGCAGACAGUUCCAGCUGGUCUGUUACGUGAGUUUGUUUGUAGAUGAGAAGUUCCCCCAUGGGAUGUGCUGAAAGUAUCCCUGGAGAACACAGAGCUCCUGAAGCAGACUUCCUUCAUGUCCCCUCAUGGAAAGUCAGUUCCCUCUGCCAUUCCAGGCCUGCGUCACACUGGCCACCAACCACUCAUGUGCGCACAUGAAAGGUGGAGUGUAGCAAGGCUUUAUGAAGCCCCAGAAAAGGGGAUCGGAUAGUUGGAUAUUUUUCUUUUCCCCUUCUGCGUGUCAUUUAAUGAUGGUGUCCAUGCUCGCAACAGUCUGCCAGGAUCUUCAGUGGUAGGUGAUGAAUGUAUGUCUAUGUCCCAUGCGACUUGGACCCUAAGCUGUAAAACGCAAGCCUUAUAUCCUUAAACUACAAGAGUUCCCUUUA